CAGCACCUCAAGUGGUCAGGAUGAUUAUUGGGCCUAAAGCAUCCGUAGCCGGCGCUGUAAGUUUUCGGUUAAAUCUGUACGCUCAACGUACAGGCUGCCGGGAAUACUGCAGCGCUAGGGAGUGGGAGAGGUAGACGGUACUCGGUAGGAAGGGGUAAAAUCCUUUGAUCUAUUGAUGACCACCUGUGGCGAAGGCGGUCUACCAGAACACGUCCGACGGUGAGGGGUGAAAGCUGGGGGAGCAAACCGGAUUAGAGACCCGAGUAGUCC
rnacentral:rRNA from 1 species